GAUCACAUGUGGACCCACCUGGCACUUAUCCUCCUAUGUUCUCACAGGAAAGCAUGGAUGAUAUUAUUAUUUUGUAUGCAGAGACCAGAAAGUGAAUGAGGAAAUUUCCAAAUGAAAAAUUCCCAAAUAAGAUCUUUGUUAAACUAAUUGGAAAGAGGCGGCUUCUCUUUCUUUUCUUUUCCCCAAGGAUGAUGGCACAUGGGUGACAAAGCAGCAGCCAUCGCCUUCUUCUUAUAAAUAGGUGUGGUGGAAAAGGAGAGUAAUUUUGUUAGGUAAGAAGGAAAGAUU